GUUUUUUGUUUUGUCUCUUUCUCUGUUGCUAGGAAAGCGCUGAGAAGAUGUCGAUGAUGCCUACUUGGGACAUUCAAAUCAACACAACAUAAAAAUUUCUGAACCUAUGUCUCAUAGGAGAGUGGAAUGAACUCUAUUGUUAGCAGAUGUGUCGUUGUUUUAUUGUGCAAUUCUGUCCGUUCUUGCUAUAUUCCUGUGUAAGGAAAUGUAUUCAUGAGAUGAGUUAUUGUGUUAUGUAAACAUGGG
rnacentral:lncRNA from 1 species